rnacentral:rRNA from 1 species
UCAGGAUGAACGCUGGCGGCGUGCCUAAUACAUGCAAGUCGAGCGAACAGAUAAGGAGCUUGCUCCUUUGAAGUUAGCGGCGGACGGGUGAGUAACACGUGGGUAACCUACCUAUAAGACUGGGAUAACUUCGGGAAACCGGAGCUAAUACCGGAUAAUAUUUAGAACCGCAUGGUUCUAAAGUGAAAGAUGGUUUUGCUAUCACUUAUAGAUGGACCCGCGCCGUAUUAGCUAGUUGGUAAGGUAACGGCUUACCAAGGCGACGAUACGUAGCCGACCUGAGAGGGUGAUCGGCCACACUGGAACUGAGACACGGUCCAGACUCCUACGGGAGGCAGCAGUAGGGAAUCUUCCGCAAUGGGCGAAAGCCUGACGGAGCAACGCCGCGUGAGUGAUGAAGGGUUUCGGCUCGUAAAACUCUGUUAUUAGGGAAGAACAAAUGUGUAAGUAACUGUGCACAUCUUGACGGUACCUAAUCAGAAAGCCACGGCUAACUACGUGCCAGCAGCCGCGGU